ensembl:lncRNA
CAGAUGACUACCAGUGAACCUGACACGCCCUGUGUGAGCUCCCAGUCUUUGCUCAUGUCAGAGCCACAAUGGGAUGAAGCUGCCUGGUUAGAGGACACUGGUCAACAGAAGAGGAAACUGUUGGAGGCACGGAGGGGAAUAAAAUCCCAGCAAAACAGAGACGCAAACUGCCACCAGCAGAAGAUGGAGCAUCUUCUACAGUCUGUGCUGUGAGCCAUGUUCUUCCAAAGGUAAGGCUCCGCUCAAAAGGACAUCAUGGCAACCAGCAGAGAUAAAGGCCGUCGAGAGGCACAUAAAGGCAUUAAUACAUGCUUGCACUGUGAUAACAAAAACUGAUUGGGAAAGGUGUUUAAGGGCCGAGCCUGAAGCACUUAAGAACAGAGAAUGGCAGAACGUGAAGUCCUUUGUUUAUAACCGUAUUGCCGCCAACAAACGAAAAAUGUUGCUUAAGUAGGUUUGUUAGAUUUCUGUUUCGUUCAGGUGUUGGGCAUGUUAUUGGCUGAUGUAGUUCAAACAUUGGCUGUUGUUUUAGCACUAUGCCUUUAGUAGUGCUACAUAGUAGUGUUACGUAACAAUAGACCUCUGAAGAAUAAGUCCCGCCUCUGAGGCUCCGGUUCCCUCGGUCAAAUGUCUAACAACAAAAUCUGAAGGUGGCGAAGAAGUUAAAGCUGCGUCACGCUUUGAACUAAACACUUUUUCCAUCUAGUGUCGACUGGGUUUUUGGAUUGUCGGUGCCAUUAAAGUAGCAUAAUAAUCGUCGUAAUAAUCGUAACGAUUAUUAAUGCUACUUUAACGGCACCGACAAUCAAAAACCCAGUCGACACUAGAUGGAAAAAGUGCGUAGUUCAAAACGUGACGCAGCUUAUCUUUUUUUCUUCGCAACCUACAGAGUUUGUUACGUAAGAUUAUUCAAAUACGCCAUGUUAUUUAAUAUAGACAUUUGACCGAGGGUUCCGGAGCCUCAGAGGUGGAACGUAUUCUUCAGAGGUCUAUGUGACUUCCAUUUAUAUUGUGACUAUUCUGUAUCUUGAUGCCUCUUCCUGGCCCCCAAGGAUACACCAGCAGGUUCUGACAUGUAUUAACGGCACUCUGAUGGCUCGAGUCUGUGCGUGAUGUGUGUCUAUGCUAAUGUGUGUAUGUGCUGGUCUACUUUUAAAAAUAAAG